rnacentral:rRNA from 1 species
UACAGAGGUCCCAAGCGUUGUUCGGAUUCACUGGGCGUAAAGGGUGCGCAGGUGGGUUUGCAAGUUCGAUGUGAAAGCCCCGGGCUUAACCCGGGAAUGGCAUUGGAUACUGCAGAUCUGGAGGAUCGGAGGGGGGACUGGAAUUCUUGGUGUAGCGGUGAAAUGUGUAGAGAUCGGGAGGAACACCGGUGGCGAAGGCGGGUCUCUGGGCAUCUCCUGACGCUGAGGCGCGAAAGCGUGGGGAGCAAACGGG